rnacentral:rRNA from 1 species
UACGUAGGGUGCGAGCGUUAAUCGGAAUUACUGGGCGUAAAGCGUGCGCAGGCGGUUUUGUAAGACAGGUGUGAAAUCCCCGGGCUUAACCUGGGAACUGCGCUUGUGACUGCAAGACUGGAGUACGGCAGAGGGGGGUGGAAUUCCACGUGUAGCAGUGAAAUGCGUAGAGAUGUGGAGGAACACCGAUGGCGAAGGCAGCCCCCUGGGCCAGUACUGACGCUCAUGCACGAAAGCGUGGGUAG